UGUGUGUGUGUGUGUGUGUGUGUGUGUGUGCCCUACUUGCCAUGGAAUAUCUGUGUAGGAUGGAGGGCAUUUUUCAGGGUUUCCUUGUGGGUCUAGUGGAGACAACUCGUGUCUUCAGGCUUGGUAGCAAAUAACUUUACACACGGAGCAAGUCUCCUGGAUUGCAGCUGCAAUUUUGUUACUUUAAAAUGGAUAGUUUCUUUGUAUUUACUUCUUUUAAAGAGAGGCCUGGGGAGGUGGGAUACUUAACCAGCCCCAGGAAGGAGCCGUGGAAGAGCCUGGGGGCAGGACUGUAGCUCACUAGAACAGGGACUUAGUUCCACCCGAUAUCUAUCCUACCUCAUAUUUUUUCCCCCUCACAUUAGGUCAGGGUCCUUCCCUGCUGGGACGCAUAGCUCCAGAGUUGCUGAACUCUGAAGAUGUAGACUCCAGAGCCUAGCCACAGAAUCAAACCCAACAUUCUGUAGCUUUAACUGUAAAUAAAGUGAUGUGGCCGAAUGUUAGGUCACAUUUACAAAGCAAGUCCAGAGAGGGGAUUGGGAAUUUUCUCGAUGUUAAAAAAAACAAAACAAAACAAAAAAACAAAAAACCCCAGCAGUUUAGGAAAAGGAACAAAGAAAUUAAAUGUUUCUAGGCUUGCCUAAUUUUUCCCUUUUAGCUUUAUAAACAAACCCCUUUCACCAUUUCCUGUAAUUGAAAAAGUAAACAAACGAGGUUUUGUUUUUUCUUUAAAUGGGUGUCUUGCUGCUUCUCCCACAACCCAAUUCAUAUGUAAAAGUCUUUCAAAUUCAAAAGCUCCAGGGGAGGUGAGGACGCCGAAGGACUUAGAUGCGGGAGCUGGCACGUCUGGCCGACUUUCGCUUUCAGCGAGCCGAGCCGAACCGAGCCGAGCCGAGCCGAGCCGAGUCGAGCUGUCUACACAGGGAGGCGGCGGCGCCGCAUAAAAUGGCGACCCGAGCGUCACCAAGAGCCGGUUAACAGGCACCGAAUUAACAAGCUUGCGUUUUGAACGAAACUAGGACACUGAAACUAUAAAUGGACCUGUAUGGAUUCCAAGGAGAAAUAUCAGAUUCUCAUCUAGAAGAGCUGCAGUCAUGCUUGCAGAAAAAGAGACUAACAAACCAAGUGGAGGAACACCAGUCCUGUCAUGCCUGAUGUCAGUGACUGGCAGGACAGCCGACCAGAGAGAGAGAAUUUGCCUAGACUGACCAAGGGUAAAUUCAAGACGACAACAACAACGUCAACACAAACAAACAAAAAACUAGUGUCCUGCUGUCUGUCUACAAAACUGGCAGAUGUUGGAGGAAGAAGAAACUACUCAAAGAGUGAUGUGGGGUUUUCAAGCGCGCUGGGAUUAAAAUUAUGCAGUCUCGCAGCGCCACCUAGUGCUCUAUAAAGGCAAAACACCUUCCGAGGCUAUCGCGCACGUUUCUAAGUCAUCUUCGGUUGGCAAGAGGUUCUCUAGGGUUAGGCAAGUCGUUUAUUAAGCUGUUGUUUAGCUGGAGAGAUGUCUCAGUGGAUAAGAGCAUCUGGCUGCUCUUCCAGAGGUCCUAAAUUCAAUUUCGAGCAACUACAGGGCGGCUCACAAUCAUCUGUAGUGAGAUCUGGUGCCCUCUUCUGGGCACUUGCAGGCAUAACACUGCAAACAUAAUAAAUAAGCUGUUGUUUA